GAUAAACGCUAGCGGCAGGCCUAACACAUGCAAGUCGCGGGGCAGCGAGAGUAGCAAUACUUGUCGGCGACCGGCGCACGGGUGAGUAACGCGUAUGUAAUCUACCUUAUACAGGGGCAUAACCCGAAGAAAUUCGGACUAAUACCCCGUAACAAUCUUGGGUGGCAUCAUUUGGGAUUUAAAGGAGCAAUCCGGUAUAAGUCGAGCAUGCGUAUCAUUAGUUAGUUGGCGAGGUAACGGCUCCCCAAGACGACGAUGAUUAGGGGUUCUGAGAGGAUAAUCCCCCACACCGGGACUGAGACACGGCCCGGACUCCUACGGGAGGCAGCAGUGAGGAAUAUUGGUCAAUGGUCGAAAGACUGAACCAGCCAUGCCGCGUGCAGGAAGAGAGCCCUACGGGUUUUAAACUGCUUUUGUAAGGGAACAAUAAGAAUUAUGUAUAAUUCGGUGAGAGUACCUUACGAAUAAGCAUCGGCUAACUCCGUGCCAGCAGCCGCGGUAAUACGGAGGAUGCAAGCGUUAUCCGGAUUCAUUGGGUUUAAAGGGUGCGUAGGCGGCAUAUUAAGUCAGCGUAGAAAUGCCGGGGCUCAACCCCGGCGCUAGCGUAGAAACUGGUAAGCUUGAAUGUGAAUGAAGUUGGAGGAAUGUGUGGUGUAGCGGUGAAAUGCAUAGAUAUCACACAGAAGGUCGAUUGCGAAGGCAUCCGACUAAUUCGAUAUUGACGCUGAGGCACGAAGCGUGGGGAUCAAACAGGAUUAGAUACCCUGGUAGUCCACGCCGUAAACGAUGAUAACUAGCUGUUGGGACGAUAGAUUUCAGUGGCUAAGCGAAAGCGAUAAGUUAUCCACCUGGGGAGUACGACCGCAAGGUUGAAACUCAAAGGAAUUGACGGGGGCCCGCACAAGCGGAGGAACAUGUGGUUUAAUUCGAUGAUACGCGAGGAACCUUACCCGGGCUCGAACGAUGGAUGAAUGAGGAUGAAAGUUUUCAGUUCGCAAGAACAUCCGUCGAGGUGCUGCAUGGUUGUCGUCAGCUCGUGCCGUGAGGUGUCGGCUUAAGUGCCAUAACGAGCGCAACCCCUAUUGCCAGUUACCAUCAAGUAAAGUUGGGGACUCUGGCAAGACUGCCGGCGUAAGCUGUGAGGAAGGUGGGGAUGACGUCAAAUCAGCACGGCCCUUACAUCCGGGGCGACACACGUGUUACAAUGGCGAGGACAAAGAGCCGCUACCGCGCGAGCGGAUGCCAAUCUCCAAACCUCGUCUCAGUUCGGAUCGGAGUCUGCAACUCGACUCCGUGAAGCUGGAUUCGCUAGUAAUCGCGCAUCAGCCAUGGCGCGGUGAAUACGUUCCCGGGCCUUGUACACACCGCCCGUCAAGCCAUGGGAGUUGGGGGUACCUAAAGUCCGUAACCGCAAGGAUCGGCCCAGGGUAAAACCGAUGACUGGGGCU
rnacentral:rRNA from 1 species